GCAUUGUUAGAAAUUUAAAAAUUUAUUUCUUACUUUGCUUUUGUACUGCUCCGUACUUGCUCCUUUGGGGAGCAGCUAACUUUCAGUCCCGUUGGGUGUGUAUGUAUAUGUAUGUAUAUAUGUAUGUAUAUGUAU